rnacentral:rRNA from 1 species
ACUCCUACGGGAGGCAGCAGUAGGGAAUCUUCCACAAUGGACGCAAGUCUGAUGGAGCAACGCCGCGUGAGUGUAGAAGGGUUUCGGCUCGUAAAGCUCUGUUGGUAGUGAAGAAAGAUAGAGGUAGUAACUGGCCUUUAUUUGACGGUAAUUACUUAGAAAGUCACGGCUAACUACGUGCCAGCAGCCGCGGUAAUAC